CUCCAGACUCCUACGGGAGGCAGCAGUGAGGAAUAUUGGUCAAUGGGCGCGAGCCUGAACCAGCCAAGUCGCGUGAGGGAAGACGGUCCUAUGGAUUGUAAACCUCUUUUGUCAGGGAGCAAAGGGCGCCACGUGUGGCGUUUUGCGAGUACCUGAAGAAAAAGCAUCGGCUAACUCCGUGCCAGCAGCCGCGGUAAUACGGAGGAUGCGAGCGUUAUCCGGAUUUAUUGGGUUUAAAGGGUGCGCAGGCGGAAUGUCAAGUCAGCGGUAAAAUUUCGGGGCUCAACCCCGUCGUGCCGUUGAAACUGGUUUUCUUGAGUGAGCGAGAAGUAUGCGGAAUGCGUGGUGUAGCGGUGAAAUGCAUAGAUAUCACGCAGAACUCCGAUUGCGAAGGCAGCAUACCGGCGCUCAACUGACGCUCAUGCACGAAAGUGUGGGUAUCGAACAGGAUUAGAUACCCCCGUA
rnacentral:rRNA from 1 species